rnacentral:lncRNA from 1 species
AGGCCUCUCUGGGGUUCUGGAAGCCGUGGAGCCCACUGCAGCUCUGCAUGGCCCAUUCUUCGUCAUUCUCUUCUAUACUGGGACGCAGGGAGGAGCCAUGUGAAGGUGGAGGCAGAGGCUGCAGUGAUGCCGCCACCAGCCACGGGGGCUGCUCAGAGCUGGAAGAGGCUGAAGGACCCUGCGCUGGAGCCUUCAGAGAGGGUGCGGGCCUGUCACCCUUGGCUUCAGACGGCCUCCAGAGCCGCGAGAGGACGCAUUUGCAUUGCUUCAGCCGCCAGUCGGUGAGAUUUGUUGCGGCAGCCUGGGAAGCAGCACACCUUCCUGCCUUUGCCGUCUGUCCGUCCGUCCGUCUGUCCACAUGGGCCUCAGACCCCGGGGGAUCCUGGCCGUCACUGCCCGGCCAUGUGCAGCCUCGGCCUGUGUCAGACAGACUUGGGCUCGAGGUCCCCAG